ACUGAGUAAAACCUCAGGGUCACACAGGAAAUUCAGCAGGGGCCUCCCACGCACCACCUAGGGCCUCACAAGGGCACAUGGAGAGUGUGCUUACUGGCAGCUGAGACUCGGGUCUAACUCCCAGCAAAACUUGCACCAGACAGCCUCGGGGGUUCUUGGGAAUCCAACGUCAUCCUUAGAACCUCUCAGGAGCUCACAUCUGCACACCCCGCAGCCUGCUCCUCCUCGCCACGCACACAGAGGCCACUGUGGGRACAGGCGAUGCCCUGGACCUCACCCCCAUGGGAGGAAG